rnacentral:sRNA from 1 species
ACAGCGGAACUCCGGGUGCCGGUUGAGGUUGCUGGUGGACCUGCUCUGGUGGUCUUGGAUGAGGCCCCAUGAGCGCGGCGCCCCUGGUGGGCUACAGCAGCAGCGGCUCCGAGGAUGAGUCCGAGGACGGGAUGCGGACCAGGCUGGGGGAUGGGAGCCACCGUCGUGGCCACAGCCCCCUUCCCAGGCAGAGAUUUCCAGUACCUGACAGUGUGCUGAACAUGUUCCCGGGCACCGAGGAGGGGCCUGAAGAUGACAGCACAAAACACGGGGGACGGGUGCGCACCUUCCCCCACGAGCGAGGCAACUGGGCCACCCACGUCUAUGUACCAUGUGAGUGAUGUGUGAAAGAUGAAGCCAAGGAGGAGUUCCUGGAUCUGCUUGAUGUGUUGCUGCCCCAUGCCCAGACAUAUGUCCCCCGGCUGGUAAGGAUGGAGGCGUUCCACCUCAGCCUGUCCCAGAGUGUGGUUCUGCGCCACCACUGGAUCCUCCCCUUCGUGCAGGCUCUGAAAGCCCGUAUGACCUCCUUCCACAGAUUCUUCUUUACUGCCAACCAGGUAAAGAUUUACACCA